UACGAAGGGGGCUAGCGUUGCUCGGAAUCACUGGGCGUAAAGGGUGCGUAGGCGGGUCUUUAAGUCAGGGGUGAAAUCCUGGAGCUCAACUCCAGAACUGCCUUUGAUACUGAGGAUCUUGAGUAUGGGAGAGGUGAGUGGAACUGCGAGUGUAGAGGUGAAAUUCGUAGAUAUUCGCAAGAACACCAGUGGCGAAGGCGGCUCACUGGCCCAUUACUGACGCUGAGGAGCGAAAGCGUGGGGAGCGAACAGG
rnacentral:rRNA from 1 species